rnacentral:lncRNA from 1 species
CCCUCACGUUACUACCUCCGUCCUCUCGCCUCUUCAACUCUCUCUCUCUGGAGCACUCCCUCCUCCCAUGAUUUUGUGAUUCCAUACGCACUUAUAUAUAUGAAGAUAACAAUUUCUUCUAAAUUAUGUUGAUUUUUGUUACUCUUGAGUAAAAGAAAAGUAGACCUAGUGCUGCUAACUCGUUAUUUAUGUUAAUUGCAAUGACCAUUUUUAAAGAAGUGAUUUCUAUGAGCUGCAUACUAAUAUUUGAAUAGAUUCUGGAAAAAUAUGAGCUUUAUCCUGUAGUCUGCAAGAUUUCCCACUGAGUGUAAUGAAUUUUCAUCCUGGUAAUGAGUCAACAUCAGUAUAUCAGUGUUUGUAUUUUGUAUUUAAUUUACCUUAUUGCUUUUUAUAAAUUUAUUUAUUUUUAUCUAUAGGGAUUAAUUUUAUUGCUUUAAUUCUAGAAAUGUACAUAUUUGACACAUUUAAAAAGUAAUUGGGAAGUGGAAUGUAUCUGAAGUAAAAAUAAGAGUAGUGACAGAGUAAAACUAACUAUAUUCAAUUAUUUUCUUAUCUCAGAGAUAACUAUGAACAUUGCAUGCCAUUUUGAUGAUAUUUAGUCUCUUUUAUUUGGAGAGAAAUAACAAUGCUCUUCUCUGCUAUUACCACAGAAAUAAAACGCCUCUUCUCUAGGUCCCUCUACCUUCAUGGCAACAAAGACGUCCAGAUGACAGAUGGAGGAUCCUCUUGGUGUGGGCCUAAGAUGGCCUUUCAGGAGUAUGAAAUCCAAAUUCUGGCAUGUAGUGAAUUUCUGAGUUUCCUUCCAUUUCCUCUUGAGAGUGCAAACCAUAUAUUUCAUUAUGACAUGAGAUUGAGAUUGCUUAGCAGAAGACUUUUUCUUGUAUAUUCAUCACCUACAAGAGAAUCCCACAGAAGUUGUACCAGAAGUGUCACAGAUAAAUAUAACUGCAACAUUGCUAGAAAAUGA